rnacentral:rRNA from 1 species
UACAGAGGUCUCAAGCGUUGUUCGGAAUUAUUGGGCGUAAAGGGCGCGUAGGCGGCCUUCUAAGUCAGACGUGAAAUCCCCCGGCUUAACCUGGGAACUGCGUCUGAUACUGGAGGGCUUGAGUGCGGGAGAGGGAUGUGGAAUUCCAGGUGUAGCGGUGAAAUGCGUAGAUAUCUGGAGGAACACCGGUGGCGAAGGCGGCAUCCUGGACCGACACUGACGCUGAGGCGCGAAAGCUAGGGUAGCAAACGGG